rnacentral:rRNA from 1 species
UACGGAGGGUGCAAGCGUUAUCCGGAUUCACUGGGUUUAAAGGGUGCGUAGGAGGGCAGGUAAGUCAGUGGUGAAAUCUCCGAGCUUAACUUGGAAACUGCCGUUGAUACUUUCUGCCUUGAAUAUUGUGGAGGUGAGCGGAAUAUGUCAUGUAGCGGUGAAAUGCUUAGAUAUGACAUAGAACACCAAUUGCGAAGGCAGCUCGCUACACAUAUAUUGACUCUGAGGCACGAAAGCGUGGGGAUCAAACAGG